rnacentral:rRNA from 1 species
GGGGAAUUUUGGACAAUGGGCGCAAGCCUGAUCCAGCCAUGCCGCGUGUCUGAAGAAGGCCUUCGGGUUGUAAAGGACUUUUGUCAGGGAAGAAAAGGCUGUUGCUAAUACCGACAGUUGAUGACGGUACCUGAAGAAUAAGCACCGGCUAACUACGUGCCAGCAGCCGCGGUAAUACGUAGGGUGCGAGCGUUAAUCGGAAUUACUGGGCGUAAAGCGAGCGCAGACGGUUACUUAAGCAGGAUGUGAAAUCCCCGGGCUCAACCUGGGAACUGCGUUCUGAACUGGGUGACUAGAGUGUGUCAGAGGGAGGUAGGAUUCCACGUGUAGCAGUGAAAUGCGUAGAGAUGUGGAGGAAUACCGAUGGCGAAGGCAGCCUCCUGGGAUAACACUGACGUUCAUGCUCGAAAGCGUGGGUAGCAAACAGGAUUAGAUACCCUGGUAGUCCACGCCCUAAACGAUGUCAAUUAGCUGUUGGGCAACUUGAUUGCUUAGUAGCGUAGCUAACGCGUGAAAUUGACCGCCUGGGGAGUACGGUCGCAAGAUUA